GAUGAACGCUGGCGGCGUGCCUAAUACAUGCCAGUCGAGCGAACGGACGAGAAGCUUGCUUCUCUGAUGUUAGCGGCGGACGGGUGAGUAACACGUGGAUAACCUACCUAUAAGACUGGGAUAACUUCGGGAAACCGGAGCUAAUACCGGAUGAUAUUUUGAACCGCAUGGUUCAAAAGUGAAAGACGGUCUUGCUGUCACUUAUAGAUGGAUCCGCGCUGCAUUAGCUAGUUGGUAAGGUAACGGCUUACCAAGGCAACGAUGCAUAGCCGACCUGAGAGGGUGAUCGGCCACACUGGAACUGAGACACGGUCCAGACUCCUACGGGAGGCAGCAGUAGGGAAUCUUCCGCGAUGGGCGAAAGCCUGACGGAGCAACGCCGCGUGAGUGAUGAAGGUCUUCGGAUCGUAAAACUCUGUUAUUAGGGAAGAACAUAUGUGUAAGUAACUGUGCACAUCUUGACGGUACCUAAUCAGAAAGCCACGGCUAACUACGUG
rnacentral:rRNA from 1 species